AAUCUGCAGUCGCUGACUUGAUGGGAGUCCCUAAGCUGGAAGCUGUAUCCAGGGCUUUACAGCAAGAAGGAACAGACCCAGCCAUCUUCGAGGAGAUCUCUCCUGCCACUGCUCAUCCUUACCGCCGUCCUUCACUCGUGAUGUAAGGGGGCAAAUAUGGAGCCUGGGAGAAGCCUGCUUCCUGGUCCUGUGUCAUCUCGAGGUGCACUUGCUGGUGGAGUGCCCGGCCUCAGGGCACGGCAGUCACCUCCCCAGGGGCGGCUCCUCCAGCCCCCAGCUCUCUACUCCUUUCGCCAUAGCCCUUGCGUCUCCUGCUACGCUCUGCAUCUCACCCUGAGCCCUUUGCUUAGGAAGUUCUGCAAGGAUGUCUGCCUCCGUGUGUUCAGCUGGAAUUAAAGCACCAUUUCCUGGACCGAAUCUUUCUGUGAAAUAUGUAACUUCCUGGAUUACAUCACUUCCAUGGAGUCCAUCAUCUCACUGGGCCCGGGGAACCAACUUCCCCAUUUGAUUUGUCCUUGUCAUCUACAGGUUACUUGGAAGUCUCCUACAAGUUACUUGGAAGUCACUUCAUGACUUUAGUCUCUGAUUAUGGUAUUGUGCACAUCAAAAUGUGCUAAAUUGAUGUUAAGAGUUCUUAUCAUAAAUAAAGAAAGAAAAAAGGGAUGUUAAGGAAACUUUGGUACGUGAUGGGUGUCUAGUAUCUUGUUUCUGGUGAAGGUAUCAUGAGGCUUUGCAUAUGUCCAAACCAAUGUAAUUGUACAUAUUAAAUAUGUGUAGUUCUUUGUAUAUCAAUUAUGCUUCAAAAGAUUUUAAACUUCAACUUGUAUAUGUUCUGCAAGAAAACCUUUGUCCUACAGGGAUGAAUACAAGAGGAUUUCUUUCCUUUAGGAGAAUAUUCUUGGUAGAUUUUUUUGCAUUUCUCAACCAACUAUUUUGAACAUUGUGCACACACACAUUCAGUGGGCAAAAUAAAUAAUAUUCAUAUUU